ACCCCUCGGGGCUUACCUAUUCGGAGAUCGAAUGUUCAUUGAUCAGAAGAUCUUAUCUCCAUCUUGGCCCUUCAGGGCUUACCGAUUCAAAGAUCAAAUUUUUCAUUGAUCAAAAGAUCUCAUCUUCAUUUUGGCCCUUCGGGGCUUACCGAUUCGGAGAUCAGAUUUUUUAUUUUCUUAUACAAUAUACGAUGUGAAAGAAUGAGCUCCUUGAAGCAUUUUUAUUAAUAAUACUUCUUGAGAUUUUUUGAAUUUUAAGUAUGAGG
rnacentral:lncRNA from 1 species